rnacentral:rRNA from 1 species
UCUACGGGAGGCAGCAGUGGGGGAUAUUGCACAAUGGGGGAAACCCUGAUGCAGCGACGCCGCGUGUGGGAAGACGGUCUUCUGGAUUGUAAACCACUGUCCCCAGGGACGAAAAUGACGGUACCUGGGGAGGAAGCUCCGGCUAACUACGUGCCAGCAGCCGCGGUAAUACGUAGGGAGCAAGCGUUGUCCGGAAUUACUGGGUGUAAAGGGAGCGUAGGCGGGGAUGCAAGUUGGGUGUCAAAACUACCGGCUCAACCGAUAGUCGCACUCAAAACUGCAGCUCUUGAGUGAAGUAGAGGCAGGCGGAAUUCCUAGUGUAGCGGUGAAAUGCGUAGAUAUUAGGAGGAACACCAGUGGCGAAGGCAGCUUACCAAGCUACUUCUGACGUUGAGGCACGAAAGCGUGGGGAGCAAACAGGAUUAGAUACCCGAGUAGUC